UUGAAACUAAUUAAGGUAACAGAGUUUCUUGCAUAUAAGGACCUGGUUAGCAAUAGUGGCAAACAGCAGACUCCUAGGUAAUGUAUGAAGCCUGUUGCUAUACCAGUUGCCCUAUGGGACCUUACAGAGAAUU